rnacentral:misc_RNA from 1 species
GAUGAAGAACGUAGCGAAAUGCGAUAAGUAAUGUGAAUUGCAGAAUUCAGUGAAUCAUCGAAUCUUUGAAAGCACCUUGCACUCCUUGGUAUUCCGAGGAGUACGCCUGUUCGAGUGUUAUGAAGCUCUCAAAACGCAAUUGGCUUAAAACCUGAUUGUUGUUUUGGAUUUGAACUUUGCCGUGUUAUAACGGCUGGUUUUAAAAGUAUUAGCUGGUACUAGAACGAAUUGGUUCUACUCAACGUGAUAAUUAUCUGAUCGUUGAGGACAUUCCUUUCACGAGGAAUGGCCAUAGUAAAUUCAAUGGACUGCUUCUAAUCUGGCUUUAAUUCUUUAUUGGAUUAACCACUUUUCAAAUCUGACCUCGAAUCAGGUGGGACUACCCGCUGAACUUAAGCAUAUCAAUAAGCGGAGGA